rnacentral:rRNA from 1 species
UUUCGCAAUGCCCGAAAGGGUGACGAAGCGACGCCGCGUGCGGGAAGAAGGCCUUCGGGUUGUAAACCGCUGUCGGGAGUUAAGAAAUGUAAGGAUGUUAAUAGCAUCUUUGCUUGGCUAAGGCUCCGGAGGAAGCCACGGCUAACUCCGUGCCAGCAGCCGCGGUAAUACAGAGGCGGCAAGCGUUGUUCGGAAUUAUUGGGCGUAAAGAGCACGUAGGCGGCUAUGUAAGUCGGUUGUGAAAGCCUUCCGCUCAACGGGAGAACAGCAUCCGAUACUGCAUGGCUUGAGUGCGGGAGGGGAGAGUGGAACUUCUGGUGGAGCGGUGAAAUGCGUAGAUAUCAGAAGGAACGCCGGCGGCGAAAGCGGCUCUCUGGCCCAUAACUGACGCUGAGUGUGCGAAAGCUAGGGGAGCAAACGGGAUUAGAUACCCCGGUAGUCCUAGCCGUAAACGAUGGGCACUAAGUAGAGGGGUUUUAAUCUC